CCUUAAACAAACCAAAAAAACAAAAAUCCAGAGGUCAAGACAGCAACCAAACCGAAUCUAAGCCGAAGUUAGCGUAAUAGAAGCCGAAACAAGCACUCCAGACCAGACACAGUAACCAAACCAACACGACACCCCUGAUUGCCAGUGGUAAUAUGAAUUUUCAGACCCUAAUAACAGAACCAAACCGGCUCCAAUAACCGAAACUUAUUGAUGCAAGAUCCAAAACUAAAAAAAAAGGUUUUAAUUUUGAUCAUGUGCGGCUUUUAAUCUAUAAUAAUAAUCUGGGCUUUUCUCUCACCUCAGCCCUCCACGUCCUUCUUUUUGAUGUGGGCAUUUGCCGCCACGUGUCGGCUCUUGAUUGGUCACGCCUUUUUUAUUUUUUUUUUUAUUUUUUUCCAUUCUCUUUUGGGCUCUGGCGUUUCUUUUGGGCUCUGGUGUUUUCUAAUUUUUUUACUAAUCGUGGCCCAUCUGAAGCACGCAUAGGGUUGCGACGUCUCAUCUUUGUCUUCGUCUUCUAGCUUUCCACAUCGGCCGCGAGACCACGCAGAGAUUCGAGGCUGUUCAGUAUGCCUAACGCCUCCGAUCUCAAUAACUUUGCAACUUAACUCCAUCUCACCCCUUUUACUCCACUCCUUCCACUUCAAUUGCGCAAUCAAUACACCUCUACGUAUUCCAUUGUAUCCGGCUUGAUCCUCACCUAUAAAUACGCCAUCAAGCGAUCUUGCAAUGCACACCUCAAAUCUUACGAAAUUUAGAAGUAAGCUCUUUUCUAAUCUCUUUUCCAUCAACCGAUUUCGAUGGCGUUCACUCUUCUUAGCGACUUGAAAGCCGGCCGAUGCUCCGAUACCGCGGAGGUCCGUCUGCUGAGGGUUUGGGAGGCUAGGAAUAUCAACAAGGGAAUGGAGCUAAUGAGUCUUGACAUGUUGCUAAUCGAUGAGAACGUAAGAUCCGUUUAACUCUUCUAAAACCUCUUAAUAUUUUGUUUGUCUAAGAUCCGUUUUAAUCUUCUAACAUCUCUUAAUAGUUUAAUUUUCUAAGAUCCGUUUUAAUCUCCAAAAAUCUCUUAAUAGUUUAAUUUUCUAUAGAUUCUAAUUUUUUUAUCUUCAUUGCUCCAUCAGUCUACUGUCGUGCACGGAACUGUCUCUGCCCUUCUCCAGCUUAGGUUCAGACCACGUAUGACGGAGGGAUCUGUAUACACACUAAGCGGCUUCGAUGUGACGCGCAGCAGCCCGAAAUACCGGCUAUCUGAUGCGCCGGUAGCCAUUCGUUUCAAUGAUGGCACCGAAUUUGAAAAGCUAGCAACGACAUCUCGGACGAUACCCACAGAGCACUUCCGUUUCCGACCGUACGACCAGAUACUUGGACUAGCCAACACUGGCAGACAACUCCCUGGUAUAUAAACAUUUUGUGUUUUUUUUUAUGGUCGUCGUUUACUUAUGUCAUGCUCUAACGUUCUCCCAAUCCAUACUAUGUCAGACGUAAUGGGAGAGCUUAGUGCAAUUAGGAGCACAAUAACUGACCGUAUCCCUGGGGCUCAGCGCGUAAUGCUUAACUUGCGUCUUGGGAGGUAUUGUCAAUCUUCUCAGUUCCAUUUGUUAUUCUUUUAACUCUAGCAUAUCACUGACUCAUUUUUAACAUGAUUUUUUUAAGCGAUACUACUGUGUGUGUUAGUAUCUUUGACUCCUUGGCCCUUGCAUUCCAUAGCAAGUUCGAUGUGUACGGAAGAGAGCCAAGGAUCGUUGUUGUAACAGCCAUGAAUCCUAAGUUGGUUUCGGGUAAGCUUGCGUCCUGUCAUGCAGUUGAUUUUUUUUUUUUUUUUUUUUUGGUUGUUAAAAGCUUAUAUAAGGUCCCAUGUGUUUUGGCAGGAAAGUUAUAUUUGAAUGGCACUUCUGCGACACGUAUUUUUUUUGACACUGAAACCGCUGUAGGCGCAGAUGCAUUUGCCAGGCAAGCAUCCUUUCUCUUAUUUGAUAAUGCAAUUUUUUUUUUUUGCUAUUGAUUUGUCAUAAGCGUUUACAUUUUAUUAUCCUCGCAGGUUGCCAAGUGGUGGUACAGACCAGUCAGGGUCUUCAUCCAAGGUGGUUCAUGAACAGAAGAUUGAACCCAUGACAGUUUCAGAGCUUAACCAAUUCAUCUUCACGGCCGAUCCUCAGGUUUUUUUGUUUACAUGUUCUUAAUUUUACUCCUUCCUAGACUGCACUUAAGAUUGUGUGUUUUCUCUUGAUUUGACAGAUAAUUGAGUUUCUCUGUACGGUCAAGGUGACUGAGAUUCAGCUUGAUGAGGGUUGGUGUUACAUUGGCUGCUCCACUUGCUCCAAGAAACUCAUCCGAGAGGAGACUUCAUUCACAUGCGUCCCAUGCAAUGAAACUAAUGCUGUGGCUAAACUCAAGUAUCGUGUGAUUCUCUCCGUCUCAGAUGACACUGGUGCAGCAGCUUUCCUUGGUUUUGAUGAAGAGAUUGCUAGCCUGACUCAUGUUCUUGCUUCUGAUGCUGCACAUAUCGUGGUAUUCCCGCUAAUUGACCUCUACGUCUUGAGCGUGUAAUGUAUUAUUGUAUACUUUGUUUACGUAUAUUUUUUCCUAAACAUUGCAGGGGAUAGGUACUAAUGCCCAAGUUGACAUCGACCUACCUCGCUCACUCGCUAAUCUGGUGGGGAGUACCUACACUUUCCAGCUCAGGUUAAAGGACUUCAAUUUUGGUCCAAAUCACCGAAGCUUUACCAUAUCUCGCAUAUUGCCCGCACGUGAUCUUGCGCCAAAGCCAACUUUUUCUGUGAGUGAACUUGAGGUCUCUUUAUUUGUAAGUGACGCUUACAUAUUGAUCUGAUAUAAAAUUAUCGGGUGUUGCUUGCAGGAUGGUGGCGAGGAUACCGAUCAAUCUAUACCCCAAUCUGUGGCAACAGGAUUAGAUGUCGGAGCUGGUAUCGUAAACAAUGGUGCAGAUCAGCUCACCGAAGCUGAUGGUGCACGUAUGGCGCAUGAAGCAGCAGCAUCGGGUGAAGACGCUGGGGAAGCAACUGCACGUAAGAAAGCACGUGUGGAAUGAGUGCUACCUUGGAACCCAAACAACCACGAUUAGACUAUAUCAUUCUCUGUUUUUUUAUAUUUGGAUUUGUUUUUUGUCUUUUAGUUCUUUGUUUUUUUUUUUAAGGUCUUUGCUAUGUCGUUUUUUCAAAUUUUUCUUAAUGAAAAACUAUGGGUCGUGGUUGUCCUAUUUUCUAUUUCUCAGGUGACUAGCAUUAAUUAUAUUAUCCAUUAACUUCACAUGUGUAUGAACCGCCGUCCUUCAUGUAAAAACAUAAAUUAACCAAGUUAAAAUAUUAGUUCACGUUCUGAUACAUGGUAAAUUUAAAAACUAUAAAAAGUCACCUCAAGUUAAGUGUUAAAUUCGAACUCUCUUUCCUCCUAGCACACUGGAAAAAAUAACUACAAGUCAUUGGAAGUUCCGGCUAACCUUAAAAUGUUGACAUUUUAUCACCUUGGCAAGCUACUUUACACGGCAUCAUUUAGGAACCCAUAACAUGUACUUAAUGUGGAUAAAUUUCCUAUAAAGUUUAUAAAGAUUGGGUUUGCGCUAGGGGUUAUUCAUGUAUUUAAAAUCAAACAAAAUUUAGACUAAGUUUGCAUUGUAGAGGCAUAUAUUACAAAAUCAAAACAUAAAAAUAUAAAUAAACCCAUUACAAAAGUGGCUUCAAAGUGGGUAUUUUAAAUUUUUCUUCCUUUCCUCUUAUGUCAGGGGAAAAAAAUAGUAAGCGUGAUCGAAAGAUCCAAGUGAAAAAAGAGGAUUGCAUAUAAAAACAUUAUACAGCGAAUUUCCACUGCUUCUUCCAAGCCCUAAUGACAAGUACUUAAUGUGAAGAACAUUUGACAACAUUUAAGCUUUCACAUACUUAAUAUUUUCGUUCUCCCUUAUUACUAUCUAUGAUUAAUAUAAAAUUUAUAUUAUGGUACAUUAAAUUAGAACAGUAACAAUUGUAUGCUGCCUGCCUAUACGUCUCCCAUUCAUAAAAAAAACUACACGCACAUCUUCAAAACAAUGCACAUAGCAUGAAACAGCCGUUACAAACAAACCUCAUAAUUUUCUCUGGAUUUUCGUUGCAGACUCUGCAUCUGUGAUUUCAUAAUAAAAAAAAAACUUUGACUACAGCUGCAUUGCAAGAAGUCAUGGUUAAGUCCCCGGUACCAGAAACAGAUAAAGGACCUUUGAGGAGAUCAAGGAGAACAGAAAGUGUUCCUCUACUAUCCACACCAUCAUCAUCAACUGCAACUAAAAGAAGCCGGAAAAAAAAAAGGUUAGUCGUAGCGAGACACUAAUUUACACAUACUUAUAUAUUUUGACGACUUCUCCAAGUUAUUUACUCUCUGUUUCAUCAGUAUCUGAUGAACGCCAGCCUUGGUUGAAAGAGCAAUUUCUACCACUCACACCUCCAACUUUGCUCGGAUGCAGAGGAGACGUAGAUCGUAUUAAAGGUAUAUGACCCCUCAUUCUGAGACUUAUUUAUCAAGUCAAAUCUAAUUUGUUGGUUCUCCCUUUUUCCAAUCCGAUUACAUUCUCAGAAACUAAUGGGCAUCUCGCCCGACAGAACCGAAGAAGCAUGCGCGCAGAAAAGAGAAACAAGGCACUACAACAAGAGAUCCAGCACAACACAGACCCUAUCUUAGCUGUUCAAAAUAACACUAUCAAUGUUGUUGACUCAGAACGUGGUAAUGACCAAGCAGCUAGAACAUUCAAAAUUUUAUUAUAAUUCGUAACUCACCUUGCAUUAUUAAUUUGAAUUAUAGAUAACAGAAGAAUAGCUCGGGCUCUGCGUAUGGAGAGACUAAUCAACAAGAGAGUAGCCACUACAAAAAAAUGUUAGCUCUUCAUUAAGACUUAUAAUUGCUGUCAGUUUACAAAGCGUCUUAAGCUACUACAGUCUUUCUAUCACUAAUACCAUAGUUUUAACAUUUUUAAAAGCAGCAUUAGUGUGUGCGAGUGGAAGCCGACCAGGUAUGAAUCAAACCAUCUAUGCACAUGAAAUUAACAAUAUAUGAUGCCAAUAAAACUUUCUCAACUGAACUGGCAGGGAGGUACCGGCGCUCAGUUGUAAACAUAGCUGCAAUAAGAGUUAAAAGAAUAAAUGAAAAUUCAAAAGGAAUGAACAAAACAAAAAAAAAGCAUAAUAUGAAUACAACAAUACAAAUAAUGGAUUUUACAACCCCAAUAAAUUAUUUAAUGCCUUUAAUUCCUUUAUAAUAUGUGAAACAACCCAAUAAUAUCAUAGACUACAACACCCUAUAUCACAAUUAUUCCUUACUCAAUAGCAUAACUAUAAGAAAAUAAAUCAAAUAAUCAAUUGAAAACAGAAUAAAAACAAAGCCUCAGUUAGUCCAUUAGCUUCAAAGAAAUUGCAGUUUCUGCCAAGGGUUCUCCCUGAAAACAGGGUCUCAGCUCCACUGCACCUCGCUUAAUUGGAUUUCCUCAUCGGCAUCAAAACAAACUUAUUCAAGAUUUUUUCCCUUAAAUCAAAUUAAAAAAAAUACAAUUUAAAAAAAAAACCAAAACAGUCGUCCUAAGGAUUAAAAGUGAGCAUUAAACUAUUACACCCACUAUGCUUUAAUUGCUUAUGCGCUUUACCAGCAAUCUAAAUUAAACGAUCAGUUACAGAGUGUAAAAACUCUACAGUUUUACCAUCCUCUUCAUUAUAUAUAAACAAAUCCUAAAAUGAAGCCACGUCCAGAAACAUCCUAAGAAAAUAAAAACUCUACAGUUUUCCACGAACACAAAACAAAUAUCAUGCUCACCCUUGAAUCCAUGCCUAAAGACAUCCGUCUUUUAAUUGUUUCCAAGAUCGCCUCCACCUCCCCCAUCAACUACUUCAAUACGAUCAUUACCUGCAAACGCCUCCACUUCGGUCCUGAAUACUACCCUGUUGCUAAAGCUCUGAACCUCAAACCCCUGGUCAACCAGCCUUCUCUAGCCAACCGGUACCGAACGUUGGUCGCCAGAUGCCUCGAAGCCAACAAUAUUGAUGCCCACUUUGUUAAAGGUAUGCUUGAAUACUUUGAAUCUCAAAAUCAGAUCUUAGGUUUACAUCACAUCCACAUAGCUUCAAAGGGUGGUCACAUCCAAGGGACGUACAUUUAUGGUGUUCUCCUCAUGGCCGUUGGCGAGACUGAUAACGGAGUGAAAAUCAUCAACAAACUAACCGAUGAUAAAGGUAUUUCAGUAGUGGAAGAUUGCAUGGCAAAUUUCCAGCGUUCUAUAGAACGCCCCUUUCUUCACAUAAAAGAGACCUAUGUGAGUUCAAUGCAGAAAAUGUGGCCACAUCUAAACUGCCAUCCUCAAGAGGGAGCUGAUACCACGGUCUGCUCCAACUGUUUUCAUUUCUUCUUGCUGACCGAGUUCUACAAGAUGAUGUUGGGGUUCAAUGAUCUCAUGGAUUAAAGAACAUGCUAUACAACAAAACGUUCUUUGCGUUUACAAGUUCACGUUCUUCAUAGCCUUUUAAUUUCUCAUUUUGGAUUUUUGGUACACGUUCAAGAUUUGAAUAGAUCUUCAAUUUGUAUUCCUUCCUUACUUUGUUUCCAUUUUGCAUUUCCCAUUAAAGUACUUUUUUAAAUAAUACGAAAAAACAUUGCUAUAACAUGACAAAAUAUAUAAAUACACGUCCCAUGCAAUGAAGCAUGCAAAAUAGUCAAGAUGAUUUGUUUUAAAUGACAAAUUUAUUGUUAUACAAGCACAAUUUUUUUUAAAAAAUAAGUGUUAUAGAAUUACUAUUUGAUAAAUUGUGUAUCAAAUCCAAUGUCAUUAAAAAUAAAAAACUUACUAUUUAAUAAAACAUUUUGAAAACUAAUGUUACUGAAAAUAGUUAAAAUUAUAAUUUUCAGGUGACUUCUAAUCAUUUUAGAAUGUUUAAGUAAAGUUUCUUCUUUAAAAAAAAAAUCACAUAAUUUUAUAUGUGAUUUUAGAAUGGUCUAACGAAAAUCAUCAUUACAACUCAAUUGAUCUAAAAUAAUUAAAUUUACUACAGAACGCAUGAAUGAUUACGAUUAUCGAAGACUGAAGAAGUGAACGCAUGAAUGAUUAUCACGAUCAGCAUUGCCUAUCUUCCUCACAGAAGUUCGACAAUCUAAAUGCCUCAUUGAUCUUCCCAUUGAUAUGUACACAAAAAAACGCCGGGAGCUAAGAUGGUUACUGAGAUAUUCAUUUCCAGUGACGUAGAAUAUUUAUUUUAAAUUUAAUUUAUCUGUUCUUUCAAAACGCUCAGUUUAAGAGCUCAACCCCUUUACCAUAGCUUACUAAAACGAAAUUGAAAAAAAAGAAAACCGCAUCGAUACAACACCAGAUAUUACACUGAGAUACGAACCAUGCGCUCAUAUAUCAACUCCGAAAUACAAACACUUCAAAACACUAACUUCCCGUAAAGACUAUACGAAUUCAGACACUUUUUAAAAUGCAAAACCUUUCAACAACACUCAGCUACAUCACUCCUAACAACUAAAUACCAAAACACAAGAUUUUUAAAAUUGGAUCAAAUAAAAUAUCCGAACCCGGCGCGUAGCGCCGGAAGACCCCUAGUAAAAGAUAUUUCAAAGUUUUCAGAUAAUGUCAAUAUCGUUAUCCCGGAUAUUGAGAGUGAUACCGUAGAUUUUCCAGCAUCACAAUCUCCUGGAAUUUCUUCAUUUUUAAUACAUUUAAGCAAUGAUGAUGGUGGUUCAAAUUCGUCACAACGUCAUAUUGGAUCGAAGAAAGUAAAACUCAAAAGAAAGCUUUCAGAAGGUAAUACUUCAUCUAUGGUUAAUUUGGUUUCAGCAAAUGAAAAAAUCCUAAAUUUCUUGAAAGAAAGUGCAUCAUCUAGAGAAAAAAAUUAUGAGAUGGUUCAGUUGCGCUUGCAAAAUCAAGCAAAAAAAUUAGCUUUAAAAUAAAUGGAGGAAAAAAGAUAAAAUCUUGUUGACAAAUUUAAACUCCAUCGAUGAUAUUAACACUCGCCAGUUUAUCUGAUCUGAACAAGCAAGAUAACUCAGCAACAACAAUCCGAAGAGACUGCUCCAAAUCUAUAUCAAGAAUAUUUUGGUGAUUUUGAAGGUUCAAGACCAAAUUUACUUGAAUAUUAGUAUUGUAAUAUAUAUUUUAAUGUGUAAUAUUUCACCUUAUGUAACUUUUAUUUUGAUGUAAAAUACUAUGAUUGUUCUAUAUUUGCGUAAAAUUUUCGAAAUGUAUUGUGUGAAAUAAUAUGUUUAUAUUGUAUUUUUAUUAAUAUUACUAUAUAUUGGUAUAUAAUAUUUAUUAAUAUAUUAUUAUUAUUUAAAAAUAAUUUUAUAAGACCAUUAUUAUAAUAUUUAAGUGCCAAUAUAAUAUUAAAAUGCAGGAUAAAAAAUAAUAAGUACACGAUCAUUAAACAUAUAUAAAUAAAAGGAUUAAAGUGAAAAGUAAAUAGUAAAUAGUAUUUUAAGGGGGUGAAUAGUGUACUUUCAAAUGUGAGAGUGUACUAUUUAUCCCCUUUAAAUUUGAGGGGGCGAAGGAUUGCUAGAGAUGUUCUUUGGCAUAGACAAAUGGUUUAACUGGUGACCAAGGAAUGAAAGAGAAUAAUGCAUUUCUUAUUAUUCCUAAUGUUUUUUACUAUUUAUAAGGAAUAGUUUUUUUUCAUUCUUUUUCAUUCAUUUUAUUCUAAAGGAAUAUAGAACAAAUUUGUUUUUCACUAAAAUUAAUAAGAAAUAAUCUUCAUUUUCAUUUUUAUAAUUUUAUUCUUCUGUAUUUUUCCCUACUCAUUCAUAUUGUUUCUAUAAUUGUCACAUGUUAAACCCAAAGUUAAGUUAAUAUAAAAAAAGGCAUAGGCAAAGUAACAUAUAGAGCUUGGAAUUUGAAUCAUUAUCCAUGGGCCCACCUCAUUUGACCGUGGCGGAUGCGGUCGAGUGAUUUGAAAAAAUGAUUUGCGGAUACGGAUGUGGGUUGACUGUUUUUGAUGCGGAGUGAAUGUGGGUCAGCCAAAUUUCAACCGCGGAUACUCGCUAACCUCCAAAAAAUUUUAAAAAAGUUUUUUUAAAAAAUGAUUUUUGUAAAAAUAUAGAAAAUAUUAUAAAUAUUUAUAUAAUUUUUAAUUAUAAAUUUAUAAAUUUUAUAUUAUUUAAAAAUAAUAAUUAAUAUAUAAAUGAAAUACUUUUUAAUAUAAUUAAUAUUACCUGCAGAUCUGGCAUAUUGUCUACAGACUUUAGCAUGGCGAGUGCGGAUUUAAGAUUUUUUUGUUUGCGGUUCAAGCGGGUUGGUUUUUUGAAUCAAAAAAUGUCUCGGCAUGCAACAGGAAGGGUCGACCCGCGAACUCAUCACUAGGCACAGAGUUGCACAAUUAUUUUAAACAAGAAAAUAAAGGUCACAUAUAUGGUGAUGAUUGAUUCGAAUGUUGCUGUAAAAUUUUAUCUGUAAACAUUUAGCUGUGGAUAGUUGUAACUAUGAAGUUGUUAUUGUAAAUUCUUUUAUUUAGACUUUUGGUGUAGUUAAAUUUAUAUAGAUGUAAGUUAUAGAUUAUAAAUAUUUUAAAAUAAAAUAUGUGAAAUGUUUGAGGGAAAUUGCCGCAAAUACCACAUUCAUAGUACCAAUUUUCAUGCAUACACUAAUCACUUUUAUCCUCAAUUUUAAUGAAGGGUAAAAGACACUUAUACCCGUAGGGUUAAUUAAUGUAGACUUAGGGUUUAGAAUUGAUGGGUGAGGUAGAGUUUUUGGAAUGUGAAAUUUUGGAUUCUAAUAAAUAUAUAAAUAAAUACUUAAAAAAUAUAAAAAAAAUUUGAAAAAUAGUUUCAGACAUAAUUUUCGAUUUUCAAAAAAAAAACUUUUAAAAAAA